CGAAGGAUCCAAGCGUUAUCCGGAUUUAUUGGGUUUAAAGGGUGCGUAGGCGGAUUGAUAAGUCAGUGGUGAAGGCCUGUUGCUUAACAACAGAACUGCCAUUGAUACUGUCAAUCUUGAAUAUGUUUGAUGUGGGCGGAAUAUGACAUGUAGCGGCGAAAUGCUUAGAUAUGUCAUAGAACACCGAUUGCGAAGGCAGCUCACAAAGCCAUUAUUGACGCUGAGGCACGAAAGCGUGGGGAUCAAACAGGAUUAGAUACCCUGGUAGUCCACGCUGUAAACUUUGAUCACUCGCUGUUGGCGAUACACUGUCAGCGGCUAAGCGAAAGCGUUAAGUGAUCCACCUGGGGAUACGAUCGCAAGAUU
rnacentral:rRNA from 1 species